AGGAGGUGAUCCAACCCCUAUUUAUAGAGGAGGCAAGCGCCGACGGUGUGGUUGGUAAUCGGGGUGAAG
rnacentral:rRNA from 1 species